CAGCACCUCAAGUGGUCAGGAUGAUUAUUGGGCCUAAAGCAUCCGUAGCCGGCGCUGUAAGUUUUCGGUUAAAUUUGUACGCUCAACGUACAGGCUGCCGGGAAUACUGCAGCGCUAGGGAGUGGGGGAGGUAGACGGUACUCGGUAGGAAGGGGUAAAAUCCUUUGAUCUAUUGAUGACCACCUGUGGCGAAGGCGGUCUACCAGAACACGUCCGACGGUGAGGGAUGAAAGCUGGGGGAGCAAACCGGAUUAGAGACCCGAGUAGUCC
rnacentral:rRNA from 1 species